UACGAAGGGGGCUAGCGUUGUUCGGAUUUACUGGGCGUAAAGCGCACGUAGGCGGAUCGAUCAGUCAGGGGUGAAAUCCCAGAGCUCAACUCUGGAACUGCCUUUGAUACUGUCGAUCUGGAGUAUGGAAGAGGUGAGUGGAAUUCCGAGUGUAGAGGUGAAAUUCGUAGAUAUUCGGAGGAACACCAGUGGCGAAGGCGGCUGCCUGGCCUGUAACUGACGCUGAGACGCGAAAGCGUGGGGAGCGAACCGG
rnacentral:rRNA from 1 species